rnacentral:rRNA from 1 species
AUGAUUCCGACCAAAUACCUUCUCGAAAGCUUCGGCCUCCUUCACCGUGAACCCCUCCGCAUCAACUUGUUCAUCGGGACCAUCGUCAUCCGAGUCCGAUGCAUAUGCACGGGAAAAAGGGAUGGAAUGGUCCAUUGUCUCUUACAAAUGAUAUUUGUCGAGAUCACCCACAUUGUUGUCAUGGAGAUCAACUUCAUUGUCAUCGUCCGCAUACUCAUCAUUGUCCUCUUGCAAAGAUUCAUCUUGGUUGUUUCUAUAAGAGCUCAAUGUUGGCCUCACUUCUUGGGUCAAAAGAGGUUCGACAAUUUCAUCUCGCUUCAAGGAUGGGGGGCUACUAGCAACCAAAGGGGAGGGGUUCCGGUUCAAGUCCAAAUGCAAACUUGA